GAGUUUGAUCGUGGCUCAGAUUGAACGCUGGCGGCAGGCCUAACACAUGCAAGUCGAGCGGUAGAGAGAAGCUUGCUUCUCUUGAGAGCGGCGGACGGGUGAGUAAUGCCUAGGAAUCUGCCUGGUAGUGGGGGAUAACGCUCGGAAACGGACGCUAAUACCGCAUACGUCCUACGGGAGAAAGCAGGGGACCUUCGGGCCUUGCGCUAUCAGAUGAGCCUAGGUCGGAUUAGCUAGUUGGUGAGGUAAUGGCUCACCAAGGCGACGAUCCGUAACUGGUCUGAGGAG
rnacentral:rRNA from 1 species